rnacentral:rRNA from 1 species
AAACGCUUGAAGUCAGUCGUGUCUUUUGGAAAUCAAGUUGCCUUUGGGUGACCGUAUUUUCUGCUGGACAGGUCAGCAUCAGUUUUGACCGCUGGACAAAGGCCCAGGGAAUGUGGCUUCUUCGGAAGUGUUAUAGACCUGGGUUGCAUACAGUGGUUGGGACUGAGGAACUCAGUGCGCCCUUGUGGUUGGGCUUCGGUCACAUUCGCACUUAGGAUGCUGGCAUAAUGGCUUUAAUCGA